CCUACGGGAGGCAGCAGUGAGGAAUAUUGGUCAAUGGGCGGAAGCCUGAACCAGCCAAGUAGCGUGCAGGAUGACGGCCCUACGGGUUGUAAACUGCUUUUAUACGGGAAUAACGCGCCUUACGUGUAGGGCUUUGCAUGUACCGUAUGAGUAAGGACCGGCUAAUUCCGUGCCAGCAGCCGCGGUGAGACGGAAGGUCCGGGCGUUAUCCGGAUUGAUUGGGGUUAAGGGGAGCGUAGGCCGCAUGUCAAGCGUGCUGUGAAAUGUCCGGGCUCAACCCGGGCCUUGCAGCGCGAACUGGCGUGCUGGAGUCUGUGGAAAGCAGGUGGAAUUCGUCGUGUAGCGGUGAAAUGCUUAGAUAUGACGAAGAACCCCGAUUGCGAAGGCAGCUUGCUGCAGCGGAACUGACGCUGAUGCUCGAAAGCGCGGGUAUCGAACAGGAUUAGAUACCCGAGUAGUC
rnacentral:rRNA from 1 species